rnacentral:rRNA from 1 species
UACGAGAGGCCCAAACGUUAUUCGGAAUUACUGGGCUUAAAGAGUUCGUAGGCGGCGCAGAAAGUAGGGUGUGAAAGCCCUCGGCUCAACCGAGGAAUUGCGCUCUAAACUACUGUGCUUGAGGGACCUAGAGGUGAGCGGAACUGAUGGUGGAGCGGUGAAAUGCGUUGAUAUCAAUCAGGAACACCGGGAGGCGAAGGCGGCUCACUUGGGGGUCGUUCUGACGCUGAGGAACGAAAGCCAGGGGAGCGAACGGG